rnacentral:rRNA from 1 species
UACGUAGGCAGCGAGCGUUGUUCGGAGUUACUGGGCGUAAAGGGUGCGCAGGCGGUGGAGCAAGUCUGUUGUGAAAUCUCCCGGCUUAACCGGGAGGGUGCGGCGGAAACUGUUCUGCUGGAGUGAGGGAGAGGCAAGCGGAAUUCCUGGUGUAGCGGUGAAAUGCGCAGAUAUCAGGAGGAACACCGAUGGCGAAGGCAGGUCUCUGGGCAUUAACUGACGCUGAGGAGCGAAAGCAUGGGGAGCGAACAGG